rnacentral:rRNA from 1 species
UACGUAGGGGGCUAGCGUUGUCCGGAAUCAUUGGGCGUAAAGAGCGUGUAGGCGGCCCGGUUAGUCCGCUGUGAAAGUCCAGGGCUCAACCCUGGAAUGCCGGUGGAUACUGUCGGGCUAGAGUCCGGAAGGGGCGAGUGGAAUUCCUGGUGUAGCGGUGAAAUGCGCAGAUAUCAGGAGGAACACCAAUGGCGAAGGCAGCUCGCUGGGACGUGACUGACGCUGAGACGCGAAAGCGUGGGGAGCGAACAGG